AGUCCACAUCGACGGGGAGGUUUGGCACCUCGAUGUCGGCUCAUCACAUCCUGGGGCUGUAGUAGGUCCCAAGGGUUGGGCUGUUCGCCCAUUAAAGUGGUACGCGAGCUGGGUUCAGAACGUCGUGAGACAGUUCGGUCCCUAUCCGUCGCAGGCGUAGGAAAUUUGAGAAGACCUGUCCUUAGUACGAGAGGACCGGGCUGGACGUACCUCUGGUGUACCAGUUGUCCUGCCAAGGGCAUGGCUGGGUAGCUGUGUACGGAAUGGAUAAGCGCUGAAAGCAUCUAAGCGCGAAGCCAACUUCAAGAUAAGAUUUCCCACCGCAAGGGUAAGACCCCAGAAAGACUAACUGGUUGAUAGGUCGAAGGUGUAAGUGCAGCAAUGUAUUUAGCUUAUCGAUACUAAUAGGUCGAGGACUUGACCA
rnacentral:rRNA from 1 species